rnacentral:rRNA from 1 species
AUUGAACGCUGGCGGAACGCUUACACAUGCAAGUCGAACGGCAGCACGGACUUCGGUCUGGUGGCGAGUGGCGAACUGGUGAGUAAUGUAUCGGAACGUGCCCAGUCGUGGGGGAUAACGUAGUGAAAAUUACGCUAAUACCGCAUACGAUCUAUGGAUGAAAGCGGGGGAUCGCAAGACCUCGCGCGAUUGGAGCGGCCGAUAUCAGAUUAGGUAGUUGGUGGGGUAAAGGCCCACCAAGCCAACGAUCUGUAGCUGGUCUGGGAGGAAGACCACCCACACUGGAACUGAGACACGGGCCAGACUCCUACGGGAGGUAGCGGUGGGGAAGUUUGGGCAAUGGGCGCAAGCCUGAUCCAGCCAUUCCGCGUGCAGGAGGAAGGCCCUCGGGUUGUAAACUGCUUUUGUACAGAACGAAAAGGUUUCUACUAAUACUAGGAGCUCAUGACGGUACUGUAAGAAUAAGCACCGGCUAACUGCGUGCCAGCCGCCGCGGUAA